UACACGAAGAACCUUACCAGGGUUUGACAUGCAAGUGGUAGGAAUCCGAAAGGUGACCGACCCUUCGGGGAGCUUGCACAGGUGCUGCAUGGCUGUCGUCAGCUCGUGUCGUGAGAUGUUCGGUUAAGUCCGCUAACGAGCGCAACCCUCGUCGUGUGUUAUACGUGUCACACGAUACUGCCGGUAUCAAGCCGGAGGAAGGUGGGGAUGAUGUCAAGUCAGCAUGGCCUUUAUAUCCUGGGCUACACACACGCUACAAUGGCAGAUACAAUAGGUUGCGAAACCGCGAGGUGGAGCCAAUCCUCAAAGUCUGUCUCAGUUCAGAUUGUAGGCUGCAACUCGCCUGCAUGAAGUUGGAGUUGCUAGUAAACGCAGGUCAGCUAUACUGCGUUGAAUACGUUCCCGGGGUUU
rnacentral:rRNA from 1 species